AUUGAACGCUGGCGGCAUGCUUUACACAUGCAAGUCGAACGGCAGCGCGGGCUUCGGCCUGGCGGCGAGUGGCGAACGGGUGAGUAAUGCAUCGGAACGUGCCCAGUAGUGGGGGAUAGCCCGGCGAAAGCCGGAUUAAUACCGCAUACGACCUGAGGGUGAAAGCGGGGGAUCGAAAGGCCUCGCGCUAUUGGAGCGGCCGAUGUCGGAUUAGCUAGUUGGUGGGGUAAAGGCUUACCAAGGCGACGAUCCGUAGCUGGUCUGAGAGGACGACCAGCCACACUGGGACUGAGACACGGCCCAGACUCCUACGGGAGGCAGCAGUGGGGAAUUUUGGACAAUGGGGGCAACCCUGAUCCAGCCAUGCCGCGUGCGGGAAGAAGGCCUUCGGGUUGUAAACCGCUUUUGUUCGGGAAGAAAUCCUCUGGGCUAAUACCCCGGGGGGAUGACGGUACCGGAAGAAUAAGCACCGGCUAACUACGUG
rnacentral:rRNA from 1 species